AGAUAUUAGUAAAAUAAUUACGUAACUUCGUCAGGGUUAAUUCACAGGUUUAACUCCUGUAUAUCUUA
rnacentral:tRNA from 1 species